UUGGACAUAGUGUGCUGGGAACACAGUCUCUUCUUAUAUGCACGAUGCCUCAUGCUUCCGAGGCAGUCCAGGGUUCGAAUCCCUGUGUUUGAG